CCCUUAGAUGUUCUGGGCAGCACCCGCGCUACAAUGGUCUUCGCAAACGGAUGCAUUCUCGAAGGAGAAUGCCAAUCUUGGAAUCUAUGCCUUGGUCGGGACAGUUGCUUGCAAUUUUUCGACUCGAACCAGGAAUUCCUUGUAAUCGUGAUUCAUCACAUCACGAUGAAUACGUCCCUGCCCUUUGUACACACCGCCCGUCGCUCCUACCGAUCGAAGAGUUAGGUGAAUUGUUUUGAUCGAUAAGAUUUGACUAUGGUCAACUCUCGUUGUGAAAUUCUGUGAAUCUGACUGUUUAGAGGAAGGAAAAGUCGUAACA
rnacentral:rRNA from 1 species